GAUGAACGCUGGCUACAGGCUUAACACAUGCAAGUCGAGGGGAAACGACGGGGAAGCUUGCUUCCCCGGGCGUCGACCGGCGCACGGGUGAGUAACGCGUAUCCAACCUGCCUCUGACUGAGGGAUAACCCGUCGAAAGUCGGCCUAAUACCUCAUGGUAUCGUCUGCGGGCAUCCAACGACGAUUAAAGAUUUCAUCGGUCAGGGAUGGGGAUGCGUCUGAUUAGCUUGUUGGCGGGGUAAUGGCCCACCAAGGCUACGAUCAGUAGGGGUUCUGAGAGGAAGGUCCCCCACAUUGGAACUGAGACACGGUCCAAACUCCUACGGGAGGCAGCAGUGAGGAAUAUUGGUCAAUGGGCGAGAGCCUGAACCAGCCAAGUAGCGUGCAGGAAGACGGCCCUAUGGGUUGUAAACUGCUUUUAUGCGGGGAUAAAGUGAGGGACGUGUCCCUCAUUGCAGGUACCGCAUGAAUAAGGACCGGCUAAUUCCGUGCCAGCAGCCGCGGUAAUACGGAAGGUCCUGGCGUUAUCCGGAUUUAUCGGGUUUAAAGGGAGCGUAGGCCGUGGAUUAAGCGUGUUGUGAAAUGCAGGUGCUCAACGUCUGCACUGCAGCGCGAACUGGUCCACUUGAGUGUGCGCAACGCAGGCGGAAUUCGUCGUGUAGCGGUGAAAUGCUUAGAUAUGACGAAGAACUCCGAUUGCGAAGGCAGCUUGCGGGAGCACAACUGACGCUGAAGCUCGAAAGUGCGGGUAUCGAACAGG
rnacentral:rRNA from 1 species